GGGCCGGUAGUCUAGCUCGGAUAGGACGCGGGCCUCCGGAGCCUGCAGCACGGGUUCGAAUCCCGUCCGGCCCG
rnacentral:tRNA from 2 species